GGGAGAACCUACAUGCCCGGGCAUAUUUCCUCUCCCACUGUCACAAAGAUCACAUGAAAGGGCUGAAAGGACCUCUGCUGAAGAGGAAGCUGCAGUUCAGUCGCACUGUGAGGCUUUACUGCUCCUUUGUAACCAAAGAGCUGCUGCUGAACAAUCCAAAGUACGCUUUUUGGGAGGAAUACAUCGUGAGUACACAUCUCUGCUUUUA